GGAGAGGGAACCUAGAAUUUACAGCUACCUCUAAGGUUAAGCACAGUUUCAUGAAUGGAAAACUACGGCUAAUAACUUUCUUAAAAACGUCUUUGGAUUGGGUGUGCUGGUUGAGGAUCCUGAUUCUUCAGUGGAAUUUAACAUCAUUCCUUGAAAGUUCCAUUGUGAGUGAUGAACAAGAUCCCAGCAACUGAGCACGCUGGAGUGCAGACUGCCAGGCAGACGGCACAGAGGCAUCAGCUGCUGGGUGCGUCAUGGGCAGGAAUCCAGAAUGCAGCAGGAUUCAGUGUGGAUGGACUCAGCGAAAUGCCUAUUCUAAGCCAGAGGCCUGACAGGGACUCUUAGGCACCAAGGUUUUUAUGACCUCGUUUCUAUAUUUAAAA